CCAAGGAAGGCAGCAGGCGCGCAAAUUACCCAAUCCCGACACGGGGAGGUAGUGACAAUAAAUAACAAUAUAGGGCUCUUUUGGGUCUUAUAAUUGGAAUGAGUACAAUUUAAAUCCCUUAACGAGGAACAAUUGGAGGGCAAGUCUGGUGCCAGCAGCCGCGGUAAUUCCAGCUCCAAUAGCGUAUAUUAAAGUUGUUGCAGUUAAAAAGCUCGUAGUUGAACUUCAGACCUGGCUGGGCGGUCCGCUUAACGGCGUGUACUGUCUGGCUGGGCCUUACCUCUUGGUGAGCCGGCGUGCCCUUUAUUGGUGUGCGUCGGGGAACCAGGACUUUUACCUUGAGAAAAUUAGAGUGUUCAAAGCAGGCCUAUGCCCGAAUACAUUAGCAUGGAAUAAUAAAAUAGGACGUGCGGUUCUAUUUUGUUGGUUUCUAGAGUCGCCGUAAUGAUUAAUAGGGAUAGUUGGGGGCAUUGGUAUUGAGUCGCUAGAGGUGAAAUUCUUGGAUUGACUCAAGACCGACUAUUGCGAAAGCAUUUGCCAAGGAUGUUUUCAUUAAUCAAGAACGAAGGUUAGGGGAUCGAAAACGAUCAGAUACCGUUGUAGUCUUAACAGUAAACUAUGCCGACUAGGGAUCGGGCAAUUUCAAUUUUCAUGUAUUGCUCGGCACCUUACGAGAAA
rnacentral:rRNA from 1 species